UGUAAAAUGUGGCUAAAACAAAAGUAAAUAAGAAGACAACUGUUGUUUCCUGAAAUGUCCAUUGACCCUACCCCUACUGACCAUAUAAGGUUUUGUGUGGAAGCCACCGACGUUUCACGCCUAGCCAAGCCCAUAUCCUCUAAGAUCAUCUCUGAAGGAUGGCUAGAAGUCAGAAUGGGUGGAAUUACUCAAGAGGAAGUGACUUGCACGGUCUUCAUAAAGAAGAUGUUCUACAUAGACACAACAGAAAUAUGGUUCUUAUAGUUCCUACACAAAAGGAAACCUACCGUAAAGACAAAACAAUGAGACAAACCCUCCUCGUCCUCCUCUUGAACUUUCUUUCAAGUCGAUGUCAGGAGGUGACGAUAACUCAAAGGAAGAAGAUCGAAGUCCUGUAUGUGGGAAAACCCAUACGUCUUCAGUGUGAACACAGCGACUCAAUUGGAACCUAUACGAUGCUAUGGUACCAGCAGGUAUCUGGGAAGGGUCUGGAGCUCAUGACCUUGUCUUCUUCCGUAAAUGACUCAUCCAUGGAGACGAAGUUUAAGGACUGGUGGCGUCUAGAGUGCUUUAACGUUAAGGAGUCCGUCCUUAUACGUGGUAAAGCCACCUCGGAGGAUUCGGCCGUGUAUUUCUGUGCAUCUAGAGAUCAAAACCACAAAAAGUUGAGUUGAAGCCAGC